UCUCUCUAUAUAUAAAUAUGUAUGUAUGAAUGUAUGUCUGUAAUUUUUUUUGAGUUCAAAUCUUUCAUGAUACAUCUUUUGUAGUAUUACCAUGGAUAAUUGCCAUAUUAUUCAUUUUGAAAUUUAGACAAUUACUACUCAUUACGAAAAUUAGCAUGACCAUGAUCGAUGCCAUACAUGACGUAUGCUUCUGAUGAACGGUAGUAAUCGUCUAUGUCC
rnacentral:lncRNA from 1 species